GGUGCUGAUUUGUGGGAUUGCUUUGACAUUAGAAGUUGGCUUUAUCCGAAGACUUUGUGUUCAAUUGCUUGGUGCCUUUUGAUUCAUCUGUCAUUGAGAAGUUUGCACUCAGAGUAAGAAAGCCAGCAUCAAGUUGUGGUACAUGAUGUCGAGGAAGGAGUGGAGAAAAGACCGGAGUAGGAUGUGAUUGUUGCUUUGCGGCCCAUCUUGUUCGAAAGUAUCCCUGCGUUGGACAUGGCAACUUAUAAUCCAGAAAUUUUUAUAGUGCACAAACUUGACGAUGUAUCAAUAACUCUUGUAAUGAUUGCUUUUAUUUCCGCACAUGAAAACGGCUUAGGCCAAUGCUCGAUCAUCGUGAAAUGCAGACUGAUAUCUUAAGCUUGAUGAAGUGAUGGAUAAGUUGUAGUAAUAUUUUUAAAAUUCUA